rnacentral:rRNA from 1 species
GACGGGGGGGGCAAGUGUUCUUCGGAAUCACUGGGCGUAAAGGGUGCGUAGGCGGGUCUUUAAGUCAGGGGUGAAAUCCUGGAGCUCAACUCCAGAACUGCCUUUGAUACUGGUGAUCUUGAGUCCGGGAGAGGUGAGUGGAACUGCGAGUGUAGAGGUGAAAUUCGUAGAUAUUGGGAAGAACACCGGUGGCGAAGGCGGCUCUCUGGACCGUAACUGACGCUAAGGCGCGAAAGCGUGGGGAGCAAACAGG